CGCCAAGAAGCUUCUACAGCACUAGCCUUUUAAGCUAGAGAGGGGGUAAUCGUGCCCCCUUGACGA
rnacentral:tRNA from 1 species